GAGGGGCUCGCGGCCUAUCAGCUAGUUGGCGGGGUAACGGCCCACCAAGGCUAUGACGGGUAGCUGGUCUGAGAGGACGACCAGCCACACGGGGACUGAGACACGGCCCCGACUCCUACGGGAGGCAGCAGUGGGGAAUUUUCCGCAAUGGGCGAAAGCCUGACGGAGUGACGCCGCGUGUGGGACGAAGGCCUUCGGGUCGUAAACCACUGUCAGUGGGAAAGAUGGGUGUCGGCGCUAAUACCGCCGGCAUCUGACGGUACCUGCAGAGGAAGCCCCGGCCAACUCUGUGCCAGCAGCCGCGGUAAGACAGAGGGGGCAAGCGUUGCUCGGAAUUACUGGGCGUAAAGGGCGCGUAGGCGGGAUGGCAAGCCGGUCGUGAAAUCCCUCGGCUCAACUGAGGAAUGUCGAUCGAUACUGCUGUUCUUGAGGAUUGCAGAGGAGACUGGAAUUCCCGGUGUAGCGGUGAAAUGUGUAGAGAUCGGGAGG
rnacentral:rRNA from 1 species